rnacentral:rRNA from 1 species
GACGUAGGGGGCUAGCGUUGUCCGGAAUUACUGGGCGUAAAGAGCUCGUAGGCGGCCUGUUAAGUCGGGUGUGAAAGCCCUCGGCUCAACCGAGGAAUUGCACUCGAUACUGGCGGGCUAGAGUCUGGUAGAGGGAGGUGGAAUUCCCGGUGUAGCGGUGAAAUGCGCAGAUAUCGGGAGGAACACCGGUGGCGAAGGCGGCCUCCUGGGCCACGACUGACGCUGAGGAGCGAAAGCUGGGGGAGCGAACAGG